GUACUCGCUUCGGCAGGUUCAUAUACUAAAAUUGGAACGAUACAGAGAAGAUUAGCAUGCCUCCUGCACAAGGGUGACACAAAAAAAGAAGAAGAAAAAAGUUGGU